GAUGGACGCUGGCGGCGUGCCUAAUACAUGCAAGUCGAGCGAACAGGCGAGGAGCUUGCUCCUCUGACGUUAGCGGCGGACGGGUGAGUAACACGUGGAUGACCUACCUAUAAGACUGGGAUAACUUCGGGAAACCGGAGCUAAUACCGGAUAAUAUAUUGAACCGCAUGGUUCAAUAGUGAAAGACGGUUUUGCUGUCACUUAUAGAUGGAUCCGCGCCGCAUUAGCUAGUUGGUAAGGUAACGGCUUACCAAGGCAACGAUGCGUAGCCGACCUGAGAGGGUGAUCGGCCACACUGGAACUGAGACACGGUCCAGACUCCUACGGGAGGCAGCAGUAGGGAAUCUUCCGCAAUGGGCGAAAGCCUGACGGAGCAACGCCGCGUGAGUGAUGAAGGUCUUCGGAUCGUAAAACUCUGUUAUUAGGGAAGAACAAAUGUGUAAGUAACUAUGCACGUCUUGACGGUACCUAAUCAGAAAGCCACGGCUAACUACGUG
rnacentral:rRNA from 1 species